rnacentral:lncRNA from 1 species
GUUCUUGGAAUAUGUCUGAACUUGACCUCUUUAAAGUCUCGUCGUUGCUCCUGGAUGUCUGAGAUAACCCAGCUUAUACCUGUUCUACUGCCCUUGGUGUUGUUAAGUAAGUCCACAACUUCUUUGCAAUCUGUCUCCAUGAUCAAAGCGGAUAGAGAGAGUUCUUUUGCUACCUGCAAGCCCCACUCCAUCGCUUCAGCUUCUGCAAAGCUCACUCCCUCCCUUAGUGGAACUUGCUUUGUGCCUGCCGCCACUAUCUUGCCACUUGGGUCUUUUAUAACAGCUCCCAACCCUGAUACUUGGUCCCUGUUAUUUAUUGCUGCAUCCACAUUAACCUUGAGGAAAUUUCCAGGUGGGGGCUCCCACUUUUUCUGCACAAUCCUUUUGACAUUAUGAAUGCGAGAUGCAUCUGGUUUUCGGGCUCUAUGGUAGGCUUCUAGAAGUGAUUCAGCUUUUGUUGCUGAGGCUCUUGGGUCUGACUUUUUUCCUUCGAAAAUCCUUUUGUUUCUUGCAAACCAUACUGCCCAACAGAAAACUAUUGUUUGCUCAGCCUCUGUUUUUCCCCAAGUGCUCCACACCUCAUAGAUGAAAUCUAGAAUAUCCUGAUUCUGGGCAUUUGAUAUUUAGACUGAAGAAGUGGCAUGAUACCAGAUUUUCCUAGCUGUUUUGCAAUCCAAGAGUGCUUGUCUGACUGUCUCCACCUCCCUGUUGCACCCCUGACAUAUUGGAUCUUUCAAGCAUUUCCUUUUCCAAAGAUUUUCACCCGUUGGCAAUAAAUUCCUAGCUGCCCUCCACAUAUAAAUUUUCAUUUUUUCUGGUAACUCCAUAGACCAUACAGCUUUCCAUCUUUUAGAGUUUGAUCCAGAGUUGCUAGGCUCAUCAGGGGCUUUGAGUUUAAGGGCUAUCUGAUAUCCGCUUCUUACUGAGUAUUCUCCAUGCUUGUCAUAAUGCCACAGCAUCUCAUCCACCUUUUGGCCUCUUGGAAGAGGAAUUUUGAGAAUAGCCUCUGUAUCUUCUUGCAUAAAGUGUUGGUUCAGCUUUGCCACAUUCCAGUUGUUUUCAUCAUCCAUCAGCUCACCUACAGUUGUAUCAAUUGACAAGGUUGGGGGGGAGAUCGGUUUAAAUGUGUCCGGUCUUGGUAUCCAAUUGUCUUUAUACACCAAAAUGUUACUGCCAUUUCCAAUACGCCACCUCGCUCCUUUUUGAAUCACUUGCCGACCCCAUAAGAUGCUCCUCCAUAUAAAGGAUGGGUUGGAGCCAGGCUUAGCGUCUAAGAAUGAGCAGCUUCUGAAGUAUCUUGCCCGAAGAACUUUGGAAACCAGGGAGUUUGGAAAUUGAAUCAGCCGCCACCCUUGCUUUGCCACCAUAGCUUGGUUAAAACUUAUGAAGUCUUGAAAUCCCAAUCCGCCCAUACUUUUUGCACAACUCAGUUUGUCCCAUCGAGCCCAAUGGAUGCCCCGCUUGUCUUUUUUUGAACCCCACCAGAAUUUUGCGAUUUCACUCUGAAUUUCCUCACAUAAGCCUUUAGGGAGCUUGAAGACACUCAUGGCGUAUGCAGGGACGGCUUGAGCAACAGCUUUUAUAAGGAUUUCUUUGCCUCCACUUGAAAACAUUUUGUGCUGCCAAUUAUUAAUCUUGCUUAAGACCUUUAACUUGACUUCUCUAAAAAAGCUUGUCUUCUUCCUUCCUAUCAUUGAUGGGAGCCCUAAAUAUUUAUCAUAUUUGGAAACCACAUUGAGGUUGAAGAUGUUUCUUAUUGCUGCUUUCUGCUCCUCAGGAAUCUUGCCUCCAAAAACAUUGAUGAUUUCUCAAAAUUAAAGAUUUGUCCUGACGCCUUUGCAUAUCUAUCAAAAAUUCCCUUCAGGUGCUUGCAUUCAGCCACUGAUGCAGUUGAGAAAACCAAGCUGUCAUCCGCGAAAAGUAAAUGGGAUAUUGUGACAUCCUCCGCAAAUCUUAGGCCGCUGAUGCGUUUUUUCGUUUCUGCCUGUAACAACAAAUUUGAGAAGACUUCUGUAUAGAUGAUGAACAAAUAUGGGGAGAGGGGACAACCUUGCCUUAAGCCCCUCUCUGGAUGAAAGAAACCUUUUGGGGUUCCAUUGAUGAUUACUGAAAAAGAAACUGAAGUGAUGCAGCCCAUAAUCAGUUCCAGCCACUUCCUUGAGAAACCAAGCUUCUUCAUUGUUUGUUUCAGAAAAGACCAUUCAACCCUAUCAUACGCUUUGCUGAUGUCCAACUUUAAUGCCACCAGCCCCUUCUUUUUUCCUUGAUUAUGUCUUAUUUUAUGGAGGCAUUCAUAUCCAAUAAUCACAUUAUCAUAGAUGAGUCUAUUGGGUAUAAAUGCACUCUGAGUGGGUGAAAUAAUUUGCGAAAGGAUUGGUUUUAGCCUAUUUACGAUAGUCUUAGCUACUAUCCUGUAUAUCACAUUGCAAAGGCUAAUUGGCCUAAACUCAGUAACCUUUUUUGGCUUGGCUGUUUUGGGGAUUAAAGCAAUAAAGGUGUGGUUAAGGGCAGUUAAGUUACCUCCCUCGUUGAGGAUGUGCAUGCAUGUUCCUAUCACGCUACUCCGAACUGUCUGCCAAUGCUUCUGGAAAAAAACAGCGGGUAAGCCGUCGGGGCCUGGAGCUUUAGUUGGGCUCAUCUGAUGCAAGGCUUCCACAAUUUCUUCUUCAGUAAAUGGCUCCUCCAGCUGGUGGUUCAUAUUUGUGGUCACCUUUGGACUAAUUCCAUCUAAUGCAUCCUGAAUGUGUUGUGGUUAGUAUUGAGAAAUGUUAGUAUUGGAUGAGUAGAAGACAUGGACAAUUUUUAGAUUAAAUGUUAUAAAUAGAAAUUUUCAUAUACUUUUUACAUUUUAAAAUGAAAUGGGGUCACAUGAGGGUGAGAUAGCUUCACUCUAAAAGACUGAAAAAACAGUUAACAAAGCAAACUAUUAUUGUAUUAUUUUUAAAGAUUCUUUAUUUCUUAUUAUGUGACUUAGGCACCAUUUUGUUUGGUGUUAUAGUAUUAUGGCUUAAAAAGUCACGGUUGUUGUUAAAUGAAAACUUAGGGUACCAUAAUUGGCAUGCUAAUGAGUGAACGAUACAUGAUAUUCCUUCUCAAGUUGACCCGCAGUUGAUCAACUCUCCAGAGUAUAGAUGCUUGAAUUAAGCUGUUAUAUGAAUUAGUCAAUUAGCAUUAUGUGAUUUUCUGCAAAGAUUUCUUGAUUUAGUUUUUUAUUAGGAUUCGGUGACUAAAUGAAUUAGUUAGUUUAAAUCCAUGUCAUGAUUAAAAUCAUGGUAUCUAUAUUGUAAUUAAACAUGAAUUAUGUAAAUAAAACAUAAGGCAUGUAAAUUUACAUGAAACUUGUAAAUAAACUUUUAAGUGUGAAUAGAACCAAAAUUAAGUAAAAUAACAUAGAAAUAUUAAAUUGAUGUAUUAUUGAUAAGCAAAACAAAAACUUAUAAAUGUAAUAUAAAACUUGUAAAUCAACAUUAACUAUAAAAUAAAACAUAGAUAAUGUAAAUGAAAGAUAAAACUUGUAAAUAGAAGAUCAAAUAAGUAAAUUAACAUAGGAAUGGUAAAUUAGUGUAUUACUGAGGAAGAAAAUAAAAACUUAUAGAUGUAAUAUAAAACUUGUAAAUCAAUAUUAUGUGUAAACUAACACAUAAAUUACGUAAAUGAAACAUAAGACUUAUAAAUAGAAGGUAAAAUAAGUAAAUUAACAUAGGAAUGAUAAAUUAGUGUAUUGUUGGUAAAUAGAACAAAAACUUACAAAUGUAACUUAAAAUUGUAUAUCAACAUUAAUUGUGAAAUAAAAUAUAAAUUAUGUAAAUGACACAUAAGAUUUAAACAUAAGGCUUGUAAAUGAAAGUUAAAACAAUUGAAUAAAGAUAUGAGUGAUAAAUUGGUUAUUAUUGGUAAACAAAACGAAAACUUAUACAUGUAAUAUAAAACUUGUAAAUCAACAUUAAGUAUAAUUAUAUAGAUGGAAGGUAAAACAUAUAAAUUAAUAUAAGAGUUAUUAAAAAAAUAAAAACUUACAAAUGUAAAAUAAAAACUCAUUAGAAUAAUGAUUACCUUAUGUAUUUACUAAUUUUAUUUAUAAAUUGGAUAAUGAUAGUUUUGGGCUUAUGUAAUACAUAUGAUGAUAUAUGUGAAAUUUGAAUAAGAAUAAUACUUAUUCUCAAAAUUGGAUCUUUCAUGUUUUUCAAAGCUGUUUGUAAAAUAAAAUGAUUUUUCAUCCUUCUAAACUUCCUGCAAAACACCCCAAAUAAUCUUUAAGUACAAGUAAGAAGUAAAGUUUAAAACUAUAUGAAGUAUUUAUAAAAUUGAAAAUUAGAUCCAAUCUUAUGGAUACAUCAUCUAUAUCUAGUAAUACAUGAAUAUCUUUUUAUUUUGUUUUACCUUGAUCCACAUCAAGAAAAAUAAUUGCUUAAUUAACUUGUGUAGUAAACAAAUACCAUGAUAGAAAAUGAAAUUAAAAAAAAAGUUUAUAAAUGUCUUACAAUGAAUAUAGAAUUUAUGGCCAAGCCCAUUCAAUAAAACUUAUUCCAAUUGUUUUCAAUAUAAUUUUUUUAUUUUCAAUUGAUCAGUGAUUUUUUCUUUGUUAAUUAAAUUAAAUUAAUAAACUAUUUUCUAUUUUACUUUCUAUUUACAAGUCCUAUGUAUAAUUUACAAAAUUUAUGUUCAUCAAAACAGUGAUGCCGUAAUUUUGGUCGCAGCACCAUAAAAAUUUCUAGAAAUCAAAGCUGUUUCUUAUUCUUAGUAGCACUAUUUCCUUUCAUAUUAGUUUAACAUGUAUUUAAGCCACUUAGGUCAUGUUUGGGAUUGAAGUACUGUAGAUUUUAAGUUAUAGCUGUUGUGGAAAAAAAAAUUAUAACUAUGAAACAAAAGUUAAUAAUAUGUAGUAAAUAUAAAUUUUAAAUAAUAAUUUUGACCAAAUUAUUAAACAUAUAAUAAUUUUUUUAUUUUACAAGUGAAAAAUCACAUCAAUAUAACUUUCAAGCUACAGUAGAUAGUGUUUACCAAAUACUUUGGUGCUGUAGUUUAAAAGUUACAGCUAUCCAACCUCAAUCCCAAACACACCCUUAUUAUAGAAAAAAGGGUGUGCUAGAAAGUUGCGUCAAGCAGCAAUCCUUUGGAGGUCUUGGUUCCCUCAAAGCAACCAACUCUAUGUUUUAAUUAAAUCUACUCUUUAUUUGUUGAUUAAUCGUUUUAGGCAUAGGCUCAAAGAAAAAUAUUAGUGAGACUAUACCAAAGUGGUACUAGAGUUUAAGAAUGAAGGAACAUAUUAAAAAAUUGGAGCUAACCGUAAACUCAAUAGAAAAAAAGGGCAGCAACUUCUUCUAAAGAAGAAUACUGAGCUAUUCUAGCAUUUACCUUUAAAUGGAGGAGUCAAGAGUACCUAUGAAACAUGGGAAGCUUCAAAUGCCCCAACGGGAGGUAAAAGAAGAUAUGGCAGCCUACGUCCUUUCACUCCAAAGAUGGUUAAGUUGGAUUUUCCGCAUUUUAAUGGUAGUGAGGAUCCUACAAGUUGGAUAUGUAGAGUUGAUCAGUCUUUCAAGUUUCAUAUACACUAGAGGAGGAAAAACUAGCAUUGGCCUCGUUUCAUUUUUGGAAGGAGAAGCACAAAUAUGGCACUAAUUAUUGUGGUAAGAGUUUAAGGAAGUAUCAGCCUUCAUUCGCAACAUGGUCCAACCAAUUUUUUUAUCCUUUUGGUGAGCUUACCAAAUUGCAACAAUUUGAUCAUGUACGAGAAUAUCAAACUCAGUUUGAAGGCUUCUUGCCAAGGCUGGAUUGCUUUCUUAAGAUAAGAAAGCCAAGGUUGGAUUGCUUCCUUAAGAUAACCAAGUUAGUUGUUUUGUUAGAGGUUGUUAGUGGAUUAAAGGAAAAUCUCAAGGCUAAUGUGUUAGUUGGGAGACCAACGACUUUGUCAGCAGCUAUAUGUUUGACAGACUGUUUGAAGCUAGGAAUGUAUCUUUCGGUAGAAUUUUGAUACCAGAACAUGAUGAAGAUGAUAUGGGUAAAGGAAGCUAGAUGCAAAAGGCAUCCCCUACCAAAUAGAUUGUUAACACCAGAAGAACUUCGGGAGUGACAAGAGAAAGGUUUUUGUUUUAAAGUGGAGCUAUUGGCACCCCUACAUUUUUCUUACAAAACCCCACUUUAAAUAAAAUUACAAUUAAGGACAAUUGAAAAUUAAACGCAUAUAAAUUUUUUUUUUCCAGCAAAUUACUUAAUUCAUAAUCAAUCCUUUAAAAAAAAAAAAAAAAUUCUAUAUGUUACUUCCUAUUUAACUAAAACAAAUUGUACAAAUUUAGAAUAAUCUAUUGUUCUCUUUUGAUUUCUUAUUGAUUAAAUAUUUUCAUACUUAAAAUUACUUUGAAAUUAUAAUUUGAAAUAUGUGUUAUUUCAGCCAAUGAUUAACACUAAAAAACUUAUCACCCAUACAACUUUUUAAUUUGUGUGUAGAUUAAUUAUAAAAUUGAAAAUAAUUAAAAAAUAGCACAAUAAUACUUUGAGUUUUAACAAUAAAACAAAUCAAAUGAAAAUUAAGAACUUAAAGAAGUGUAUCUAAAAAAAAGGGCAUUUUUGAAAAUAAAAUGAAAAUAAAUAAAAAGGGGGUUUUAUGAGGAGAUGAGAUGGCAAUGGGGAGGGGAGGGGAGGGGACCAAUCUCCCCGUACCCAUCCCCGAUAUUUUGCGUAUGUCCCCGUCCCCGUCAGAAUUACUUAAGAGAAUCCUCAUCCCCUCCCCGAAUAAUAAUAGGGGAUCCCCGAGGGUCCCCGAUCCCCGAAUAACUAAUACAUUUUUUUUAUUUUCGAUUUGAGUUAAUCAUAUUAAAAUAAAAAAUUCAAAUAAAAGUAAAAUUCGAAAAAUAUCUUACAUUAAUAUCCAUUACAAAAGUCACAUACAUUAAAUUAAUAAGUAACGCAGCAUGCAAGGGAUACAAACUUCUUUUACAAACUAUCAUGAACAAAUUAAUAGUCUAAUACAAAAUUGUUACAAAUAAAAUCGAAUUUAGAUUCAAAAUUAACUUUUUCAAUGGUGGCGUGGGCACUUUAUAAAUGUGGACUAUUCCCUUUACAGCAUAAUAGUUAAGUCGGAGCAAAUCAAGAGUAAAUAUUAGAUUAAAUUAAAUUAGAUAUUAAAAUUGUGAUUCGUUGUGGGCAAUUAUAACAUCUAAAAAUAAAUAAAUAAUAUAUUUAAGUUUAAAAUAUUUAAUGAAUAUUAAAAUUAAAACAAAAUUUUUGGGCUAAUAGAAUCUAUCCGGUCUUUUUAAUGUCCUAAAUAAAAAUUUAGAACUUUAAUUAGUUAAUUAGGCCUAAAAGUUUAAUAAUAUAAAUAUUUUGAUAUUUGUUAUUUUUACCAAUUUUUAUAAUUUUAUAAUUCAAAUUUUAUAAUUUAUUUACUAGUAAUUUUAAAAAAUUAAAAUUAAAAUUAAAAUGGGGAAAUGGGUAGGGGAUGGGGAUUUUACCUCAUCCCCGUCCCCUCCCCGAAUAAGAAAUUGGGUAAAAAAAAUUCCCCAUCCCUUCCCCGAAUAAGAAAUUGGGUACGAAAUUAUCCCCAUACCCUCUCCGAAUGGGAAAAAUUCCCGAGGGUAUCCGUCCCCGUGGGGAUUUUUGCCAUCCCUAGAUGAGAGGGGUGCCAAUAGUUCAACUCUUUGUGUUAAAUGUGAAGGAAAGUUUAAUUAAAUAUACAUUUAGUCCUUAUAUUUUGAGUUAAGUGUUUAUUUAUCUCUUAUAUUUUGAAAAAUACUUCAAGACACCCAACUAUUAAACAUGUAAUGUAAUUGUUGAAGUUACUGUGCCUUGUUGAAAAUUCUAGAAAAUUGUAAGUAAAAUAUCAAAAGAAAAAAUCUUGAUAAAUCUAAGCGACAGUUAAAAAUAUUGUUUGUAUAAAGUUACGAAGAUAGUGGAUAGGAAAAAGCAGCUAAAUAUGUGGUUAUAAUACCACAAUUAUGUCGAUUAAUUAGGCUACAAAUAUAAGUCAUGUAAUUAUUACGUAUGUAUCGGAAAAAAAAAAAAAUUAAAGAAAAGCUCUUUAGAAAUAAACUACAUGAUAUCUCUCCUUCUCUUUAACCAAUACUUAUUACCUAACAACUUUCCACUUACUCGGGCAGUAGCCCGAGUGGCCAGGGCUGCUGCCCUCCAACUUGGAGGGCAGCAGUUCGAACCCCCACAAAAGCAUUGUGGGGGUAUUUCCUUUUUCAAUUAAUUUGAGUGAAGGUAGUCUUUUCCCUUACCCAUGAGUGAGGAGUAGACAUCCCUCGAAUAUUUGUGAGGGUUAAAAUCUGGGCAGAGCUCCAUUAGCAUUGAUGUCAGUUGGUCCGAGGAGUAGACAUCCCUCGAAUAUUUGUGAGGGUUAAAAUCUGGGCAGAGCUCCAUUAGCAUUGAUGUCAGUUGGUCCCAGUAAUAGUCUGAUUUGUAAAUAUCAGUAAUAGUCUCAUGUAUAUGAGUUGUAAUCUGAGCAAUAGUCUCAUGUAAUAAAAAAAAAAAAAAACAACUUUCCACUUUACUCACAUAUCAUUACCUAAGAACUUUCCACUUUAUUCACAGAACACCUUUCCCACAAACUAUGAUUACUUCCCCAAUUUUCCAACAGUUGUAUCGGAGCUGAAUUGGUCAUGUCACUGGGCGAAAGAGUCAUCAUGGCAUGGCCAGCAAGAGCUCCAUACCACCAUCAUUUCCUAUCCGGAGAAAAUUUUUAUUUUUGGAGCACUAAAAUGAGGACUUAUUUUAAGUCCCAUAAGCUAUGGGACAUUAUUAAUAGCGGGUGUCUAUUCCAAAGACUACCUCCACUCUGUCUGCACAACAACAGCAACAGUUAGAAGAAAGCCAAUAAGAUGAUGCAAGUGCAUUAUUCGUUCUUCAACAAGGAGUGGAUAAUACUAUCUUCCUAAGAAUUGCUGGAGCUUCAUCAGCAAAGGAAGCCUGGAACAUUCUGAAAGAGGAGUUUCAAGGCAAUGCUAAGGUACAAACUAUCAGACUUUCAAUUUCUAUGAAGAGAUUUAGAAAAUAUUGAAAUGUAAGAUUGUAAGACUGUUAAAGAUUAUUAUUCAAA